rnacentral:rRNA from 1 species
UACAGAGGGUGCAAGCGUUAAUCGGAAUUACUGGGCGUAAAGCGUGCGUAGACGGUUAUGUAAGUUAGGUGUGAAAGCCCCGGGCUCAACCUGGGAAUUGCAUUUAAGACUGCAUAGCUAGGGUGCGGAAGAGGGAAGCGGAAUUUCCGGUGUAGCGGUGAAAUUCGUAGAUAUCGAGAGGAACACCGGUGGCGAAGGCGGCCAACUGGACAGAUACUGACGCUGAGACACGAAAGCGUGGGGAGCAAACAGG